UCCUCCUCACUUGCCGAAACAGCCGGUCCCGGAGCUCAUCCACUAACAUGGCAUCCUGACGGUUCAGCUUGGCAGGGGUGGCCAUGAGGCCCCGGAGGAUGGGGUCGAUGCCCCCUGGUGGCAGGGAAUGUGAGCAGCACAGAUUGGACCAGCCUCUGGGAAGCUACUUGGGUUAUCACAUGAUGCCAAGCUAGCCCAGAGCUGGACAAGCCAGUCGGGUAUGUUAGUAACGUUUGUCAGGAAACAGAGUUCUGGAGAGACAUGAAGCAGCUGGAGCUGGGAGGUACUUCUUAAGGAAUGGAAGGUACUGUUCAGGAGCUGGGAGGAUUUAAAAAUGAAUAAUGCAUGGCGCCUGCCCUCAAGAAGCUCUCAUUCCAGUUAAAGAGAAAAGCAGAAACACACAUGAAGUAGUAGCCUUGGAAAUGAAUUCACUACCCUAGAUUUGGAACACUGGAUUUUUGAAAGAUGCUGGACACAAGUCACCAAUGUUCUUGUGCUAGAAGAAGAAUUCGUGUCCUAAAGAGCAAUGGUGGUGUUUCAGGACCAUGGACAGUAGCACAUGGCUACAGACACCUAAAAAAGCUCCCAACGCUCACCUCACCCUGCAAGUUCCUCCAGAAGGGCCCGUCAAGGCUGGCAGUGGACACCUUGCAGGUUAAAUCCAUGGUCUUCCUCCAAGUCGGGCUUAGAAAACUCCUCCCCACAAAAUAUCACAUAGUAGGCACUGAAUAAAUUUUUGUUCAAUUAAUUAACAAAUUUAUUACAGCAAAGGGUUGCACUUAUGUGCUCAAUUCACCCAACAAAUAUUUAUUUAAGCCCCUAUUGUGUGACAUGCAUGAACCUUUCAGACAGGAUGUUUUGUGACUGAGGUCCCUGUUUCAUGGUGUGUAGCUGGUGUCUUAUGAGUAUGACAGUAGGCGCUACAUAGGGCUGCUUCCUGCCUGCAUCUCUGGUAGAAAGUAAAGUCUAAUACAAUUUUUCCUGUUUUCUUCUGUUAAAAUUCUGGACCACUUGUUUGUCCAUCAACACUUCUUCUUCUCUUCUGAUUUCUGUCACUCUCCCUAGAGUCUAAGACAUCAGAGAAUGCAAAUAAGGUCUUUCUCCCUCGUCUUCAUUCCCAGCCCUACAGCACCAUCUCAGAUUUUGUACUGUGCAACCAAAUCUUUCCCCACUCCUACUCCCAUUUCCAUCACUCUCCCUAGAGCCUAAGACAUCAGAGAAUGCAAAUAAGGUCUUUCUUCCCCUGUCUUCAUUCCCAGCCCUACGGCACCUAACGUUUCAGAUUUUGUACUGUGCAACCAAAUCUUUUCCCACUCCUACUCCCACUCCCAUCCCUAUUCCUUAAACAAGUACAAAUGUCUUAAAGGAAAAACACCUGCUUUUUGUCAUUGUCUCUUCUGAAGUACCUAGCAUAGAGCCUGGCUUGUAGUUGUGUGUCAGUAAAUAAAUGACUCAAUCAAUAAGAAUAAAAGCCCCAUGAGGAUGGGGACUUUUGACUGUUUUAUAAUAUGUUAGACAUUCGAUAAAUAUAUGUUCAAUUAACUGAUUAAUAAAUUAACAUAUUUAUCUGUGAUA
rnacentral:lncRNA from 1 species